rnacentral:lncRNA from 1 species
GUGUUUAAAUAAUGAAGGUGAGUGCUAGUGUUUGAAUGAUGCAGGUGAGUGCUAAUGUUUGAAUGAUGCAGGUGAGUGCUAAUGUUUGAAUGAUGCAGGUGAGUGCUAAUGUUUGAAUGAUGCAGGUGAGUGCUAGUGUUUGAAUGAUGCAGGUGAGUGCUAGUGUUUGAAUGAUGCAGGUGAGUGCUAGUGUUUGAAUGAUGCAGGUGAGUGCUAGUGUUUGAACGAUGCAUGUGAGUGCUAGUGUUUGAAUGAUGCAGGUGAGCG